AUCGAAACUCAAGUACUCAACUCAACUCCGGGCGGCCGCCGUCUUACACACAAAAGAAAAAAAAUCAAUGAAUCAAUCAAUCAAAAUCGCUAUUCGCUGCUACCACCACUCAAAUCUGUUACUUCCGGUUGAGAUCUUCUCCAGCAAAAUGGAAAACCAAUCAGAUAAAGGUUGUGCUUGGCUUUGUGUUCGUUUAGAAUAUUAAUUAAUGUUGGAAGAGACGAACAAACUCGUUAAGAAAAUUUGUUCGUGUAAAAGUAAAAAACUUGUUAUCUAAUCCUCUGUCUGAUUAUUUAUGCCCAACAUAAUCAUAACAAGUUUUAUUAUAUUUAAAUAUCUGAUCACUGGUAUCAAAGGGUGAUGCUUUGCAUAGCUUUGAGGACGAAUUUAGAUGGUGUUCUUGAAAGCUGGGAUCCAUCAAAUAAUCAUCUCUCCGACAAUGGCUCAUUUUCACUGUUUACGCCCAUCAGCUGCAGAAGAAGAUCUCAACCCGACACUUUUAGCACUAAAAACAUAUUAGGUAGAGGUGGAUACAAGGGCCGUUUGGCAGACGGCUCACUUGUUGUUGUUGAGGUUAAACGAUUGAAAGAAGAACGUACGCCAGGUGGCGAACUCCAAUUCCAGAACCAAGUCGAGUAUGGCGAUGCACCACGGGGAUUUUGAUUGUUGUUAUAUUUGAAAAUGAUUAGUGGACUCACUGGAAUGUCUCCCGAUCCCCACCCUGAAACUUCACGGUCUUCUUCUUCUUCUUCAUGCGAAUCAACCUACACCAAGGCAUUUGAAAAGCUUUAUACGCAUGGUGAACCAAGUUGCAAUCAUCUUGAUCGUGACCGUAUGUCUCGUAGUUCGGGUGUUAGCGAUUCGGCCACACCAUCAUACGUAUAAUGUGGUGCCGCUCUCUAUCGUUAUGGCGGCGUUUUCGGUGGGCACCGGCGCGUAUCUUGUGUGGGUCUACCUGAAAGUCCCAGAAGAUCCAUCUCGAUAUUGUUUCAUCAGAUUCACAUCACUCGUUUUUUAUGAUUUCAGCGUCAUGUCAUGCGUUUUGGCGGUCAUUGCCAACUUCUUCCCUGCUGAUACAGUCAAACUCAGCAGGGACUUGACUUUUGCCGGAGGUUUUAUCAUCCUCUUGGCUUGUACGUUGGUAGAUAGACUUCUGUCGUGCGUAGCAGCUAUCCUUGGGAGGAAAAGAGCGGCUGGUGCUGCAAAUACUGCUCCUGGCAACACCGCCUGAUGUGCAGACGGGUUGGAGUCUGAGGAGGAAUCAUUUUGCUGAAGUUGAUCAGAGCCAAAGGUAAGACCGUUUAAAUAAAGUCUUGGAAGACAGAAGUACUAUCUACCUUAGUUUUGUGCACCUCUAACUCUGCUGUAGAAGGAUGGAUAUAGUGUUAUUUUUUUGUUAAAACAAUGAGUGAUGUGGGCUGGGAUUUUGGAUAUAUGGGUUAUUCGUUUUUUUUUUUUUUUUUUAAACAAUGAGUGAUGUGGGCUGAGAUUUUGGAUAUAUGGGUUAUUCGUUAAAAUUGAAUUCAAGAUAUGAUGUGAUUCUAGUGAAA